GAUGAAUGCUGGCGGCGUGCUUAACACAUGCAAGUCGAGCGGUAAGGCCCCUUCGGGGGUACGACGAGCGGCGGACGGCUGAGUAACGCGUGGGAACAUGCCCCAAAGUGAGGAAUAAGCUCCAGAAAUGGAGUCUAAUGCCGCAUAUGAUCUUAGGAUUAAAGGAUUUAUCCGCUUUGGGAGUGGCCUGCGUACGAUUAGGUAGUUGGUGAGGUAAUGGCUCACCAAGCCUACGAUCGUUAGCUGGUCUGAGAGGAUGACCAGCCAGACUGGAACUGAGACACGGUCCAGACUCCUACGGGAGGCAGCAGUGAGGAAUAUUCCACAAUGGGCGAAAGCCUGAUGGAGC
rnacentral:rRNA from 1 species